ACUUGUGAAUUUAGGUAUGAUUUGAAAUCAUAUUAAUUGCUUUUAUUAGCAACACUGGUU
rnacentral:tRNA from 1 species